rnacentral:rRNA from 1 species
AUUGAACGCUGGCGGCAUGCCUAACACAUGCAAGUCGAACGAGUGGCGGACGGGUGAGUAAUGUCUGGGAAACUGCCCGAUGGAGGGGGAUAACUACUGGAAACGGUAGCUCAUACCGCAUACCAUCGGAUGUGCCCAAAUGGGAUGAGACAGGUGGUGGGGUAACGGCUCACCUAGGCGACGAUCCCUAGCUGGUCUGAGAGGAUGAACAGCCAGACUGGAACUGAGACACUGUCCAGAAGCCUACGGGAGGCAGCAGUGGGGAAUAUUGCACAAUGGGCGCAAGCCUGAUGCAGCCAUGCCGCGUGUAUGAAGAAGGCCUUCGGGUUGUAAAGUACUUUCAGCGAGGAGGCGUUACUCGCAGAAGAAGCACCGGCUAACUCCGUGCCAGCAGCCGCGGUAAUAC